AGGAUAAACGCUGGCGGCGUGCCUAACACAUGCAAGUCGAACGCGCUUUCGGGCUUCGGUGCGAGAGCGAGUGGCGGACGGGUGAGUAACACAUGGGUACCUACCUUGGAGUGAGGGAUACCGGCGAGAAAUCGCCGACAAUACCGCAUAGGCUUCUUCACAAGGGAAGCAAAGUGACGCGAGUCACGCUUUGAGAUGGGCCUGUGGCCGAUUAGCUAGUUGGGGGGGUAACGGCUUCCCAAGGCGACGAUCGGUAGCUGGUCUGAGAGGACGAUCAGCCACACUGGGAUUGAGAACGGCCCAGACUCCUACGGGGGGCAGCAGUGAGGAAUUUUCCGCAAUGGAGGCAACUCUGACGGAGCAACGCCGCGUGCAGGAGGAAGGUUUUCGGAUCGUAAACUGCUUUUCUCGGGGACGAGGCAAGGACGGUACCCGAGGAAGAAGCCCGGCUAACUACGUGCCAGCAGCCGC
rnacentral:rRNA from 1 species